rnacentral:lncRNA from 1 species
CUUUUCUUGGCUAUGAAGCGAAGGCUACGACACCAAAGCGCGCCUAUUGCGCCGCUGCUGAAAGUAGUACCGCAGUUUUCUUGGUUAUCUCA